rnacentral:rRNA from 1 species
UUGACGGACGGGUGAGUAACGCGUGGGGAACCUGCCCUGUACAGGGGGAUAACACUUAGAAAUAGGUGCUAAUACCGCAUAAGCGCACAGUAUCGCAUGAUACAGUGUGAAAAACUCCGGUGGUACAGGAUGGACCCGCGUCUGAUUAGCUGGUUGGCGGGGUAACGGCCCACCAAGGCGACGAUCAGUAGCCGGCCUGAGAGGGUGAACGGCCACAUUGGGACUGAGACACGGCCCAAACUCCUACGGGAGGCAGCAG